CCAGCAGCUGCGUAAUUCCAGCUCCAAUAGCGUAUAUUAAAGUUGUUGCAGUUAAAACGCUCGUAGUCUGAGUUGGGGUGAGUGGGUGGGGGUGUCGUGAGACAUUCCUAUUAGCACACUUGUUCUGACAGCAAUGUCGGGGUUACUUUGAGGAAAUUAGGGUGUUCAAGGCAGGCGUGUGCUUGGAUAUCGCAGCAUGGAAUAACGGAGUAGGAUUCGCUUCUUAUUUUGUUGGUUUGGGGGAGUGAGUAAUGAUUAGUAGGGGCAGUUGGGGGCAUUGGUAUUUGGUAGUCAGAGGUGAAAUUCUUGGAUUUACCAAAGACUAACUGGUGCGAAAGCGUUUGCCAAGGAUGUUUUCAUUAAUCAAGAACGAAAGU
rnacentral:rRNA from 1 species